CCGAUUAAUCUGUUCAUUGUGAUC
rnacentral:siRNA from 1 species